rnacentral:lncRNA from 1 species
GUAAUUGCUCGUGAUUUUACAGGUCACAGGCACAUGAAAAUCUUCAACACCCCCAGCAACUCCAGCACCUUCACUGGCUUCAUCCUCCUGGGCUUCCCUUGCCCCAGGGAGGGACAGAUCCUCCUCGUUGUGCUCUUCACUGUUGUUUACCUCCUGACCCUCAUGGGCAAUGGUUCCAUCAACUGUGCUGUGCACUGGGUCAGAGACUCCAUGCCCCCAUGUACAUCCUGCUCGCCAACUUCUCCUUCCUGGAGAUCUGUUAUGUCACCUCUACAGUCCCCAACGUGCUGGCCAACUUCCUCUCUGACACAAGAUCAUCUCGUUCUCUGGCUGCUUCCUCCAAUUCUACUUUUUUUUCUCCUUGGGCUCUACAGAAUGCUUUUUCCUGGGAGCUAUGGCAUUUGACCUAUACCUUGCCAUCUGCCGGCCUCUACGCUAUCCAACCAUUAUGACCAGACGUCUCUGCAACAUUCUUGUGGGCAGCUGCUGGGUACUUGGUUUCUUGUGGUUCCUGAUUCCUAUCAGUGUCAUUUCUCAAAUGACCUGUGGAUCUAGGAUUAUUGACCACUUCCCAUGUGACCCAGGUCCUCUGUUAGCCCUCACCUGUACCAGAGCCCCUCUACUAGAGUUGACUAGCUCCACCUUAAGUUCUCUACUUCUAUUUAUUCCCUUUCUCUUCAUCGUGGGGUGCUAUGCUCUGGUCCUGAGAGCUGUGUUGAGGGUUCCUUCAGCAUCUGGAAGAAGAAAGGCUUUCUCUACCUGUGGCUCCCACCUGGCUGUAGUUUCACUGUUUAUGGCUCAAUGAUGAUCACGUAUGUGAGCCCAACAUCUGGGCAUGAAUUCGGAAUGCAGAAGACUGUGACUCUGUUCUAUUCUGUGGUCACUCCCCUUAUUAAUCCUGUCAUAUACAGUCUGAGGAACAAGGAAAUGAAACAUGCAAUGAGGAACUACACUGUAAUGUUUUAUUU